rnacentral:rRNA from 1 species
GGGCCCGCACAAGCGGUGGAGCAUAUGGUUUAAUUCGAUGAUACGCGGAACACCUCACCAAGGCUUGAAAUGCAGCUGCAAAUCCAGGGAAACUUGGACUUCUUCGAGAGUGCUGCACAGGUGCUGCAUGGUUGUCGUCAGCUCGUGUCGUGAGAUGUCGGGUUAAGUCCUUUAACGAGCGCAACCCUCAUCUUGUGUUACUUUUAGUCACAAGAAACUGCCCCGCUCAACGGGGAGGAAGGCGAGGAUGACGUCAAAUCAGCAUGGCUCUUACGCCUUGGGCCACACAUGUGCUACAAUGGCCGGUACAAAGGGUUGCUAAGCGGUAACGCGGAGCUAAUCCCAUCAAAACCGGUCUCAGUUCGGAUUGGGGUCUGCAAUUCGACCCCAUGAAGCUGGAAUCGCUAGUAACCGUGAAUCAGCAUGUCACGGUGAAUACGUUCUCGGGCCUU